GAAGCCUGCCAGGCCGCCGCUGGUGCAAGCGUGGAAACACCGCACUGGAGGAACGUCCGGACUGCACAGGACAGCGCAGGAGGUAACACCUCUCCACCGAAAGCCGCAAGGACCAAGGUGAGGAUCAGAGCAACAGAGACGAGCCGGUUCAGUCCGGGUGAAACGGGCAAUCUCUGCGCGCAGCAAUACCAAGUAGGCCAGCGUUGAUGUGGUUCCGCAGAGCUGGCGGGUAGGUAGCACCGAGCCGGUGGGGUGACCCCCGGCCCAGAUGAAUGGCGGUCACGCGACGGGCAACCGUCGCGCACAGAAUCCGGCGUAUCGGCAGGCUUCCCUU
rnacentral:RNase_P_RNA from 1 species